rnacentral:rRNA from 1 species
AGAGUUUGAUCCUGGCUCAGGAUGAACGCCGGCGGUGUGCCUAAUACAUGCAAGUCGAACGCGUUGGCCCAACUGAUUGAUUGUGCUUGCACAGGAUUGACGUUGGUUUCCCAACGAGUGGCGGACGGGUGAGUAACACGUAGGCAACCUGCCCCGAAGCGGGGGACAACAUUUGGAAACAAGUGCUAAUACCGCAUAACAACUUUGACCGCCUGGUCAAAGCUUAAAAGAUGGUUUCGGCUAUCACUUCGGGAUGGGCCUGCGGCGCAUUAGCUUGUUGGUGGGGUAACGGCCUACCAAGGCGAUGAUGCGUAGCCGAGUUGAGAGACUGAUCGGCCACAAUGGGACUGAGACACGGCCCAGACUCCUACGGGAGGCAGCAGUAGGGAAUCUUCCACAAUGGGCGCAAGCCUGAUGGAGCAACACCGCGUGAGUGAAGAAGGGUUUCGGCUCGUAAAGCUCUGUUGUUGAAGAAGAAUGUGCAAGAGAGUAACUGUUCUUGUAUUGACGGUAUUCAACCAGAAAGUCACGGCUAACUACGUGCCAGCAGCCGCGGUAAUACGUAGGUGGCAAGCGUUAUCCGGAUUUAUUGGGCGUAAAGCGAGCGCAGGCGGUUUUCUAAGUCUGAUGUGAAAGCCUUCGGCUUAACCGAAGAAGUGCAUCGGAAACUGGAUGACUUGAGUGCAGAAGAGGGCAGUGGAACUCCAUGUGUAGCGGUGGAAUGCGUAGAUAUAUGGAAGAACACCAGUGGCGAAGGCGGCUGCCUGGUCUGUAACUGACGCUGAGGCUCGAAAGCAUGGGUAGCGAACAGGAUUAGAUACCCUGGUAGUCCAUGCCGUAAACGAUGAGUGCUAGGUGUUGGAGGGUUUCCGCCCUUCAGUGCCGGAGCUAACGCAUUAAGCACUCCGCCUGGGGAGUACGACCGCAAGGUUGAAACUCAAAGGAAUUGACGGGGGCCCGCACAAGCGGUGGAGCAUGUGGUUUAAUUCGAAGCAACGCGAAGAACCUUA